rnacentral:lncRNA from 1 species
AGAUAAAGAAUGCCAGGACCCCACCAAAGAUUCCACAGGGAUACAGGAGACAAGCGGGGAGUGAAGAUCCAGCCUGCCUCAAUCUUUGGUGUAAAAGCCAUCUUAUCAUAAAGACAAAGGAGGCCCACUCCUGUCUAUGGUUAGGCCUCUGCUUCUCAAGGAUUGGGCUUAUGCCCUACCUGCACCCUUACCUACAGAUAGUAGUUGGUUACCACCUGUUCCAGGAAUGGCAAUCCUGUCCCUGUUUCAAAGAGUGGUUUAUAGCCAUCUUGCAAUCCUACCCUUGUUGCAAAAGAUUAUAUGACCACCUAAUGACUACCUAGUUAUGACAAUGACUGCCUGCUGUUCCCACCUUGCAACCGUGUCUGUGUUUCAAGAGAUCAUUAGGACUGACUUGUUUGCCCUGCUCCUAUAAUGCCACCUAUUUUGCCCAUCAAAUCCACCACUUGGAAAUUCCGUACCCCUGAGCUAUGAAAGCCUUGUCUUCCUCACAUCGCAUCUAAUCUCGAACCCUGCCAUAGGGAGAGGCAGCCCUUGUGCAUGUUUAAAAAAAAAAAAACUCCUGUUUUAAUUAA